AUCGCUUCUCAGCCUUUUGGCUAAGAUCAAGUGUAGUGUCACGUUCAAAAGAGGUACCAAUAAUUUGCAAGAGACUUUGAACAUUUACCAGUUGUGUGCUUGAUAACUCAGCCAAACUAUAUCUCACAGCAUUUUUUUUUUAAAAAGUUAUGUUUAUAGUCCAGAUUUGCAGUUUACUUUUUCCCUUUCUAUCCUAAGCCAACUCUAAGUGGACUCUCU
rnacentral:snRNA from 1 species